GGGUUAACCCGUUUUCGACCCGAAACGACCCGUUAGCUUAACGGGUGGCUAACGGGUUCACCCGUUUUCAACCCGACCCAAUAAGCUCAACCCAAAUACUGAUAAUUUCGUGCGAAUUCGUGUCGUGUUAACGGGUCGUGUGCAAUAUUGCCAGGUCUAGUCUUGGCUCUGUCUUGGGCCUGUUUCCCUGUUACUUGGAUCUGUUACUCUAUUUUUCUGUUUCAGUGUUUCAGCUUUUGUUCAUGUUUGGGAUCGUGAUAUGUUUUUCCGUAACAACUGUCCUUCCUUCUCUUAUUAUUAUUUUCUAUGUUUUUUGAAAAUUCAAUUUCUAUGUCCCUAAUUUGAUUUAGGGUUAAAAUGUUUGGGUAUUUAAUUGUAAAUUAUCUGUGAAAAUCAAUAUUUUUUUGUAUAUAUUUUCGGUAUUUAAUUAUAUAAUUAUCUGUAAAUUAUGACUGUCAAAUUCCCUUGAAGUUCCAUUUUUUGAUCAAAUUAGGCACUUUUCAGUUCAGUUGUUGGUUUUUUACUGCGAACCUACACUGAGUUUUGCCCGUGCUUCCCAUUCUGGUGAGGUAUAAGCUAGAGGUUGCAAAUGCAGAGCUCGAGGAAGCCAAGCGCAGCAAGGAAACUACUGAGCAAGAUCUUAAAGGAUACGAAGUUGAUGUUCUUAAUUUGCUUAGGCUUUAAUCGAAUCUUCAAUGCAGUCAAGGAUUUCUCUGACUCAAGACGAGAUUUCCACAGUCGGAUCGGAUUUGGAUGCUCUUAAGGGGCUUCACGAGAUGAGUUUAUUAGCCAAAUGGUUGAGAUCAACACUCAGAUAAGGUUAGCCUCAUUUGAAAAGCAAAAGAGUACAUGUAACAAGUUCUCAGAGCAUUUUGGCAUAAAUGGUGUAUUUGUAUGCGUGAAAAUAGAUUGGGGUAUUUUCGUAAGUACGGGUACGAAGAAUCAAAUAUUGUAAUCGAAAUUAGAAGAAUCAAAUGUUACAGUUGUUAGUCUAUAUGCAGAGAAGAAGGUUGUAGAGAAUAUUUGGUCAUUGGAUAAUUUCUCUUCUCUAAACCUCUUUUAUUUUUCUUUUGAUUUACUGUAUCCUAUGUAAUGCAAAUUCUUACGUUUUCAGUCCCAAAA